rnacentral:rRNA from 1 species
UACAGAGGAGCCAAGCGUUGUCCGGAUUGACUGGGCGUAAAGCGCACGCAGGCGGCAUCGCGCGUGGGGUGUGAAAUCUGGCCGCUUAACGGCCAGGCGCCAUCCCAUACGGCGAGGCUGGAGCGAUGCAGAGGUCGGUGGAAUUCCCGGUGUAGCGGUGAAAUGCGCAGAUAUCGGGAGGAACACCAGUAGCGAAGGCGGCUCGCUGGGCCAUUCCUGACGCUGAGACGCGAAAGCUAGGGGAGCGAACAGG